UACAGGGGGGGCAAGCGUUGUUCGGAAUUACUGGGCGUAAAGGGCCAGUAGGCGGCCAACUAAGUCACACGUGAAAUCCCCAGGCUUAACCUGGGAACUGCGUGUGAUACUGGAUGGCUUGAAUUCGGGAGAGGGAUGCAGAAUUCCAGGUGUAGCGGUGAAAUGCGUAGAUAUCUGGAGGAAUACCGGUGGCGAAGGCGGCAUCCUGGACCGGCAUUGACGCUGAGGCGCGAAAGCUAGGGGAGCAAACGGGG
rnacentral:rRNA from 1 species